rnacentral:rRNA from 1 species
AUUGGGCGUAAAGCGAGCGCAGGCGGAAGAAUAAGUCUGAUGUGAAAGCCCUCGGCUUAACCGAGGAACUGCAUCGGAAACUGUUUUUCUUGAGUGCAGAAGAGGAGAGUGGAACUCCAUGUGUAGCGGUGGAAUGCGUAGAUAUAUGGAAGAACACCAGUGGCGAAGGCGGCUCUCUGGUCUGCAACUGACGCUGAGGCUCGGAAGCAUGGGUAGCGAACAGGAUUAGAUACCCUAGUAGUCCAUGCCGUAAACGAUGAGUGCUAAGUGUUGGGAGGUUUCCGCCUCUCAGUGCUGCAGCUAACGCAUUAAGCACUCCGCCUGGGGAGUACGACCGCAAGGUUGAAACUCAAAGGAAUUGACGGGGGCCCGCACAAGCGGUGGAGCAUGUGGUUUAAUUCGAAGCAACGCGAAGAACCCUACCAGGUCUUGACAUCUAGUGCCAUUUGUAGAGAUACAAAGUUCCCUUCGGGGACGCUAAGACAGGUGGUGCAUGGCUGUCGUCAGCUCGUGUCGUGAGAUGUUGGGUUAAGUCCCGCAACGAGCGCAACCCUUGUUAUUAGUUGCCAGCAUUAAGUUGGGCACUCUAAUGAGACUGCCGGUGACAAACCGGAGGAAGGUGGGGAUGACGUCAAGUCAUCAUGCCCCUUAUGACCUGGGCUACACACGUGCUACAAUGGGCAGUACAACGAGAAGCGAGCCUGCGAAGGCAAGCGGAUCUCUGAAAGCUGUUCUCAGUUCGGACUGCAGUCUGCAACUCGACUGCACGAAGCUGGAAUCGCU